UACGUAGGUGGCAAGCGUUAUCCGGAAUUAUUGGGCGUAAAGCGCGCGCAGGUGGUUUCUUAAGUCUGAUGUGAAAGCCCACGGCUCAACCGUGGAGGGUCAUUGGAAACUGGGAGACUUGAGUGCAGAAGAGGAAAGUGGAAUUCCAUGUGUAGCGGUGAAAUGCGUAGAGAUAUGGAGGAACACCAGUGGCGAAGGCGACUUUCUGGACAGUGACUGACGCUGAGACGCGAAAGCGUGGGGAGCAAACAGG
rnacentral:rRNA from 1 species